AUCUACAGGCUUAACACAUGCAAGUCGAGGGGCAGCAUUUCAGUUUGCUUGCAAACUGGAGAUGGCGACCGGCGCACGGGUGAGUAACACGUAUCCAACCUGCCGAUAACUCGGGGAUAGCCUUUCGAAAGAAAGAUUAAUACCCGAUGGUAUAAUCAGACCGCAUGGUCUUGUUAUUAAAGAAUUUCGGUUAUCGAUGGGGAUGCGUUCCAUUAGGCAGUUGGUGAGGUAACGGCUCACCAAACCUUCGAUGGAUAGGGGUUCUGAGAGGAAGGUCCCCCACAUUGGAACUGAGACACGGUCCAAACUCCUACGGGAGGCAGCAGUGAGGAAUAUUGGUCAAUGGGCGCAGGCCUGAACCAGCCAAGUAGCGUGAAGGAUGACUGCCCUAUGGGUUGUAAACUUCUUUUAUAUGGGAAUAAAGUUUUCCACGUGUGGAAUUUUGUAUGUACCAUAUGAAUAAGGAUCGGCUAACUCCGUGCCAGCAGCCGCGGUAAUACGGAGGAUCCGAGCGUUAUCCGGAUUUAUUGGGUUUAAAGGGAGCGUAGGUGGACAGUUAAGUCAGUUGUGAAAGUUUGCGGCUCAACCGUAAAAUUGCAGUUGAUACUGGCUGUCUUGAGUACAGUAGAGGUGGCGGAAUUCGUGGUGUAGCGGUGAAAUGCUUAGAUAUCACGAAGAACUCCGAUUGCGAAGGCAGCUCACUGGACUGCAACUGACACUGAUGCUCGAAAGUGUGGGUAUCAAACAGGAUUAGAUACCCUGGUAGUCCACACAGUAAACGAUGAAUACUCGCUGUUUGCGAUAUACAGUAAGCGGCCAAGCGAAAGCAUUAAGUAUUCCACCUGGGGAGUACGCCGGCAACGGUGAAACUCAAAGGAAUUGACGGGGGCCCGCACAAGCGGAGGAACAUGUGGUUUAAUUCGAUGAUACGCGAGGAACCUUACCCGGGCUUAAAUUGCAUUUGAAUAUAUUGGAAACAGUAUAGCCGUAAGGCAAAUGUGAAGGUGCUGCAUGGUUGUCGUCAGCUCGUGCCGUGAGGUGUCGGCUUAAGUGCCAUAACGAGCGCAACCCUUAUCUUUAGUUACUAACAGGUCAUGCUGAGGACUCUAGAGAGACUGCCGUCGUAAGAUGUGAGGAAGGUGGGGAUGACGUCAAAUCAGCACGGCCCUUACGUCCGGGGCUACACACGUGUUACAAUGGGGGGUACAGAAGGCAGCUACCUGGUGACAGGAUGCUAAUCCCAAAAGCCUCUCUCAGUUCGGAUCGAAGUCUGCAACCCGACUUCGUGAAGCUGGAUUCGCUAGUAAUCGCGCAUCAGCCAUGGCGCGGUGAAUACGUUCCCGGGCCUUGUACACACCGCCCGUCAAGCCAUGAAAGCCGGGGGUACCUGAAGUACGUAACCGCAAGGAGCGUCCUAGGGUAAAACUGGUAAUUGGGGCUA
rnacentral:rRNA from 1 species